CACAACACCGCUAAUGGGCAGCGCGGGCAGCAUCUUAGCAACUGCCAUUGACCUGCUGCGGAAACUAUUUGUGAAUGAGACACAAGUCCAAUGGCAAUUUUGGGCCCAGGGCAGAGGGCCAUUUCUUCAUGGACCAUAAUGGCGGCUUUGUACACUUAUUAUCUAGAUGCAUGCUGAAGCCUACUUGGAAUGGGUGGCACGGGAGAGAAAGCAGAUGCCCAUUGGUGUAAUUGCACCAACAACAGUCUGCCACUCUUCCAGACAUAACUAUUGUUAAGAGUUUAUGAGGUGGUUCAUACAGAUUGAGCAUCCUAGAGAAAUACGCUGGACUGGGUGUCUGGACCAGAUGGCUAAGUAUGGAAGGUGACGUGGGACUGGACGUCUCUCAUUCCAGAUUGAGCUUGGAACAAACAGCAACAACCAU